GUAGACCUUUCUACCACUGCCGAUAGUAAGAAUGAUAAACUGAAAAACCCCAAGCUAAAGCCUUCUUCCACUAAAGCCAUGAUUGAAGCUAAUGAAGAUUAUGAAGGAUGGAAGAGCAAAGCAGCUAGAUCACAAAUGUCCGGAUCAAGCUUCCACACACCGGGAAAGAAUUCCGGUAGUCUUCUGGCUCGUGCACCCGCUGUUCAGCCAGUGCAUGGCAGGGUGGACUGGGCAGCCAAAUAUGGAGGCCAUCGGUAGCACAGGGUUUCAGCUGAGCUACGUGACUGUUGUGCUUGACCCGAGACUGCGCCAUGAGACCCGAAUGGUCCAGCAGGAGGCAUUAAGGGAUUAAGCCUUUACAAUUGCAUUCACGUCACCAAAUUGUAUGAAAGUUGGAAUAAAUGAUUUUUGUCUAUUCUAAUUUGGAUUCUGUCAUGGACUGUACUAUGUAUACUGCACUCGUCUUUCACAUCAGGGAGAUUUCUUUAAAUUACAUGUAGUCUUGAUCUGAGUGUCAAGAACACCCUGUUUUAGAUGUGUGCUGCCGAGUCAAGGGUUAAUGAACUACACAUUACUCAUUUUUAAAUUUUGCCACUGAUUUAGGAAAAAAAUUGUUUGCACUAUUACAGUAUUUGAUAAUGACAUUCAUGCACUCUUAGAUGCAAAUGAAAGUAACAGUACUUUCCUUUUAGUUUUGGUAAAAAAACAUAGGUUUGCAUAUACCUUAGUAACACACUUCUCUACACAUUUUCAAAUAAUCUUAAAAAGGUUUUUAACAGACCUCUGUUUAACUUUGAUGUAAGUUCUAUAAUAAAACAGUGAGAAAACUUUACAUUAAAUGUUUAAUUAAAUGCCAGAUAACACCAUAAGAAGAGGUUCUUUUAUGUGCUUUUAUUAUUCUUGAUUAGGUUCUCAAUCUGACCCCUGCUGUCUGUUUCACAUGAUUUUAUUCAUUUGUCCAUGUUGCUGUUUUUGUGGGGUGGAGAGUGAGGGGCUGUAAGGCAGAUGGUAAGACCACAUUUACUGUACUGCAUCCUUCUCUUUGUUCAUGGGAAAAUGAACGAAUAUGGAACAGAAUGUGAGACUCUAUGAGACUAAAGGUAGACAUUUUUAUUGUACUAGAUCCCUAUUUUUAUCUAUUCUGUCAGUUUAACUGAAAUGUAUUGUAAACUUCAUACAUUAAGAAAAGGUGUAUAGCUGUGCAUGGAAAACCUUAAAAUUGUAUUAGUUUUUUUAAUUAAAAAUGCCAUGUUUUGUUUAUACAUAGCUACUAUUGAUCUUUAAGGUGUAUUCUUUUUAUUUCUUUCUAUAGUAAUAAAAAUGACAAUUGUUCAUUAUAUGAUUCAUACAGAAUGCUAUUUUCGAAUAUUUAUUUUCAUUAAAAUAUUGUUCAUGUUACUAAGCACUGUGUACAAAACCUACUGGUAAAUAAACUAGCAUUUGUUUUAAGAAUUUUCACCAAAUCUUUUGAAACAAUAUUCAUAUGGUAAGAGGAGAUGCAUUUUAGUAAUUGUGUUUUAACAGUUCCUGUACUGCCCAAGAGUACAUGAAUGUUUGUAAAUGAGAGAAGCCCAUUCAGCCUAUACAGGUCCUUUGGAGUAGGACAGUAGGUAACUACUUCACGGAUAUUAUCCAGCCUGAAAGAAACACUGAUAUUGGCUUUGACAACAUAACAGAGCUGUUCUGUGUGCCAAAGUGGCUCUCAUUCUCAGUUUUGCAAAAUAAUAUACAAUACAAUGUCUAAUACACUUACAGUGCCAACUGAGUCAGGACUGACACCUCCAUGAUGAACUAAGCACAGCGUGUAACUUGUGAUAAUCACAGAGUCCGUUUUAAUCGGUAUGAGCUGAAUAAAAAGCAGUAGUAUAGGCAAAGGUGGAAUCUAGUUUUCAAGUUUUCAUCACUGAUGUCUUCCCACCUUCAGAAAGAAUGUGCCCUUCACAUAUUCAUACAUUUUAAAUAUGAAACAUUUUAAUUUCUUCAAAGGCCCGUCGUGAUAGGAGCUGUAAAAAAACAAACUACAAUCUGGAGCAGUUCGGAAGUCCCGACAACUCAGGAUGAAUGAAAAAUACUGAUUUAUAUAUCUGUCAACGAAUAUACAAUGAGACCGUAUCUGACAUUACUGCUCUUUAUACAGAAUGGCUUGAAUUGACACCAAAGAAUUAUGGCUUUCUCUUACCUCUUGGACUUACUAGCUUUAAUUAACGGGGUACAAAUGCGACUGCAAAAAACAAGUCAGUGUGUACUGCGCAUGACAACAGAGCAAACCAGGAUUUCUGGUACCACCUCCUUCCAGAGAUUUCACUGAUAAGAAACUGGGCAACCUUGAGCUUUUUAUUCAACAUUUUUACAAAGUUCAUUCGUCUUCACAGUGUCUGAACCGGACCCAGCAAACCACGAUUUUACUUUUUU